rnacentral:rRNA from 1 species
AGUGAACGUUGGCGGCGUGGAUUAGGCAUGCAAGUCGUGCGGUAAGGCCCCGCAAGGGGCACACGAGCGGCGAAAGGGAGAGUAACGCGUGGAUUAUCUACCCCCGGGAUCGGGACAGCCGCGGGAAACUGCGGUUAAUACCGAAUAACGUCUCCGGACCAAAGGUGUGAUUCCGCCUGGGGAUGAGUCCGCGUCCUAUUAGCUUGUUGGUGAGGUAACGGCUCACCAAGGCCACGAUGGGUACGAGGUGUGAGAGCAUGACCUCGCUCACUGGGACUGAGACACUGCCCAGACACCUACGGGUGGCUGCAGUCGAGAAUCUUCGGCAAUGGGCGCAAGCCUGACCGAGCGACGCCGCGUGCGGGAUGAAGGCCUUCGGGUUGUAAACCGCUGUCGGAGGGGAGGAAAUGCGCGGGGGUUCUCCCUCGCGUUUGACCUAGCCUCAGAGGAAGGACGGGCUAAGUUCGUGCCAGCAGCCGCCGUAAAAC